rnacentral:rRNA from 1 species
UACAGAGGGUGCAAGCGUUAAUCGGAAUUACUGGGCGUAAAGCGCACGUAGGUGGAAAAGUAAGUUGAAUGUGAAAUUCCCGGGCUUAACCUGGGGACUGCAUUUGAUACGUGUCGUCUUGAGUUCGGAAGAGGGUCGUGGAAUUCCCAGUGUAGGAGGUGAAAUUCGUAGAUAUUGGGAAGAACACCGGUGGCGAAGGCGGCGACCUGGUUCGAUACUGACGCUGAGGCGCGAAAGCGUGGGGAGCAAACAGG